rnacentral:rRNA from 2 species
AUGGUUAAGUUAGAAAGGGCGCACGGUGAAUGCCUUGGCACUAGGAGCCGAUGAAGGACGGGACUAACACCGAUAUGCUUCGGGGAGCUGUAAGUGAGCUUUGAUCCGGAGAUUUCCGAAUGGGGAAACCCACUGUUCGUAAUGGAACAGUAUCUUUAUCUGAAUACAUAGGAUAUUGAAGGCAGACCCGGGGAACUGAAACAUCUAAGUACCCGGAGGAAGAGAAAGCAAAUGCGAUUUCCUGAGUAGCGGCGAGCGAAACGGAAUUAGCCCAAACCAAGAGGCUUGCCUCUUGGGGUUGUAGGACACUCUAUACGGAGUUACAAAGGAACGAAGUAAAUGAAGCGACCUGGAAAGGUCCGUCGAAGAAGGUAACAACCCUGUAGUUGAAACUUCGUUCCCUCUUGAGUGGAUCCUGAGUACGGCGGAACACGUGAAAUUCCGUCGGAAGCUGGGAGGACCAUCUCCCAAGGCUAAAUACUACCUAGUGACCGAUAGUGAACCAGUACCGUGAGGGAAAGGUGAAAAGCACCCCGGAAGGGGAGUGAAAGAGAUCCUGAAACCGUGUGCCUACAAGUAGUCAGAGCCCGUUAAUGGGUGAUGGCGUGCCUUUUGUAGAAUGAACCGGCGAGUUACGAUCCCAUGCAAGGUUAAGCUGAUAAGGCGGAGCCGUAGCGAAAGCGAGUCUGAAUAGGGCGUUUAGUAUGUGGUUGUAGACCCGAAACCAGGUGAUCUACCCAUGUCCAGGGUGAAGUUCAGGUAACACUGAAUGGAGGCCCGAACCCACGCACGUUGAAAAGUGCGGGGAUGAGGUGUGGGUAGCGGAGAAAUUCCAAUCGAACCUGGAGAUAGCUGGUUCUCUCCGAAAUAGCUUUAGGGCUAGCCUCAUGUUGUGAGAGUCUUGGAGGUAGAGCACUGAUUGGACUAGGGGCCCCCAACGGGUUACCGAAUUCAGUCAAACUCCGAAUGCCAAAGACUUAUCCAUGGGAGUCAGACUGCGAGUGAUAAGAUCCGUAGUCAAAAGGGAAACAGCCCAGACCACCAGCUAAGGUCCCCAAGUAUACGUUAAGUGGAAAAGGAUGUGGAGUUGCUUAGACAACCAGGAUGUUGGCUUAGAAGCAGCCACCAUUUAAAGAGUGCGUAAUAGCUCACUGGUCGAGUGACUCUGCGCCGAAAAUGUACCGGGGCUAAACGUAUCACCGAAGCUGUGGAUUGACAUCUUAGAUGUCAGUGGUAGGAGAGCGUUCUAAGUGCUGUGAAGUCAGACCGUAAGGACUGGUGGAGCGCUUAGAAGUGAGAAUGCCGGUAUGAGUAGCGAAAGACAAGUGAGAAUCUUGUCCACCGAAUGCCUAAGGUUUCCUGAGGAAGGCUCGUCCGCUCAGGGUUAGUCGGGACCUAAGCCGAGGCUGAAAAGCGUAGGCGAUGGCCAACAGGUUGAUAUUCCUGUACCACCUCCCCGCCGUUUGAGUAAUGGGGGGACGCAGUAGGAUAGGGUAAGCGCGCUGCUGGAUAUGCGCGUUCAAGCAGUUAGGCUGAUGAGUAGGCAAAUCCGCUCAUCAUAAAGGCUGAGCUGUGAUGACGAGGGAAUUAUAGUACCGAAGUUCCUGAUUCCACACUGCCAAGAAAAGCCUCUAGCGAGGCGGGAGGUGCCCGUACCGCAAACCGACACAGGUAGGCGAGGAGAGAAUCCUAAGGUGAUCGAGAGAACUCUCGUUAAGGAACUCGGCAAAAUGACCCCGUAACUUCGGGAGAAGGGGUGCUCUGGUAGGGUGUAUAGCCCGAGAGAGCCGCAGUGAAUAGGCCCAGGCGACUGUUUAGCAAAAACACAGGUCUCUGCGAAGCCGCAAGGCGAAGUAUAGGGGCUGACGCCUGCCCGGUGCUGGAAGGUUAAGAGGAGGGGUUAUCCUUUGGGAGAAGCUCUGAAUCGAAGCCCCAGUAAACGGCGGCCGUAACUAUAACGGUCCUAAGGUAGCGAAAUUCCUUGUCGGGUAAGUUCCGACCCGCACGAAAGGCGUAACGAUCUGGGCACUGUCUCAACGAGAGACUCGGUGAAAUUAUAGUACCUGUGAAGAUGCAGGUUACCCGCGACAGGACGGAAAGACCCCGUGGAGCUUUACUGUAGCCUGAUAUUGAAUUUUGGUACAGCUUGUACAGGAUAGGUAGGAGCCUGAGAAGCCGGAGCGCUAGCUUCGGUGGAGGCGUCGGUGGGAUACUACCCUGGCUGUAUUGAAAUUCUAACCCGCGGCCCUUAUCGGGCCGGGAGACAGUGUCAGGUGGGCAGUUUGACUGGGGCGGUCGCCUCCUAAAAUGUAACGGAGGCGCCCAAAGGUUCCCUCAGAAUGGUUGGAAAUCAUUCGUAGAGUGUAAAGGCACAAGGGAGCUUGACUGCGAGACCUACAAGUCGAGCAGGGACGAAAGUCGGGCUUAGUGAUCCGGUGGUUCCGCAUGGAAGGGCCAUCGCUCAACGGAUAAAAGCUACCCCGGGGAUAACAGGCUUAUCUCCCCCAAGAGUCCACAUCGACGGGGAGGUUUGGCACCUCGAUGUCGGCUCAUCGCAUCCUGGGGCUGUAGUCGGUCCCAAGGGUUGGGCUGUUCGCCCAUUAAAGCGGUACGCGAGCUGGGUUCAGAACGUCGUGAGACAGUUCGGUCCCUAUCCGUCGUGGGCGUAGGAAAUUUGAGAGGAGCUGUCCUUAGUACGAGAGGACCGGGAUGGACACACCGCUGGUGUACCAGUUGUCUUGCCAAAGGCAUCGCUGGGUAGCUAUGUGUGGACGGGAUAAGUGCUGAAAGCAUCUAAGCAUGAAGCCCCCCUCAAGAUGAGAUUUCCCAUAGCGCAAGCUAGUAAGAUCCCUGAAAGAUGAUCAGGUUGAUAGGUCAGAGGUGGAAGCGUGGCGACAUGUGUAGCUGACUGAUACUAAUCGAUCGAGGACUUAACCAAA